rnacentral:rRNA from 2 species
ACCCUUUAAUGUUUGAUGUUCUAACGUGGACCCGUAAUCCGGGUUGCGGACAGUGUCUGGUGGGUAGUUUGACUGGGGCGGUCUCCUCCUAAAGAGUAACGGAGGAGCACGAAGGUUGGCUAAUCCUGGUCGGACAUCAGGAGGUUAGUGCAAUGGCAUAAGCCAGCUUGACUGCGAGCGUGACGGCGCGAGCAGGUGCGAAAGCAGGUCAUAGUGAUCCGGUGGUUCUGAAUGGAAGGGCCAUCGCUCAACGGAUAAAAGGUACUCCGGGGAUAACAGGCUGAUACCGCCCAAGAGUUCAUAUCGACGGCGGUGUUUGGCACCUCGAUGUCGGCUCAUCACAUCCUGGGGCUGAAGUAGGUCCCAAGGGUAUGGCUGUUCGCCAUUUAAAGUGGUACGCGAGCUGGGUUUAGAACGUCGUGAGACAGUUCGGUCCCUAUCUGCCGUGGGCGCUGGAGAACUGAGGGGGGCUGCUCCUAGUACGAGAGGACCGGAGUGGACGCAUCACUGGUGUUCGGGUUGUCAUGCCAAUGGCACUGCCCGGUAGCUAAAUGCGGAAGAGAUAAGUGCUGAAAGCAUCUAAGCACGAAACUUGCCCCGAGAUGAGUUCUCCCUGAGACUUAGAGUCUCCUGAAGGAACGUUGAAGACGACGACGUUGAUAGGCCGGGUGU